AUAAAGGCUACAAUGAGGCUAGUCAAGAAAGACCUUUCUGAUAAGGAGACACCUGAACACGUCCCUCGUCCUCAGUCUGGUGGCUGACAGCCUCCCGCAUCUCAGGCAGUGGACGCUCAUUGAGUACCAUGGAUGUAAAGGAACAGCAAGAAGGUGUGCAAAAGGGAAGAAGAACAUUGAAUGGAUGAGGAGCAUCAUGAAUAAAGAUUUGAAACCAACAUGAAAUGACAAGGACUUCAAAUUUUCUUCCCUGAAAGAACUCACUGCUCCCUGAUAUUUUUCCCUUCUCUUCCUUAUGCUGUUUCACCGUAAGUAGUGGAUCCUUGACAAGUUUCGCUUAGACAUCAUGGAGAUGGUACUCUACAAGCAUCCCACACAGGGCCUUUAUGUGGAUGAUACCACAUGUCAGGAGGCUUCCCUGAGGAAGGAUGUUUAAUCCAAGACCUGAAAGAGGAGUGGGGAUCACCAGACAAGGAAA